rnacentral:rRNA from 1 species
AACGAACGCUGGCGGCAGGCCUAACACAUGCAAGUCGAGCGCCCCGCAAGGGGAGCGGCAGACGGGUGAGUAACGCGUGGGAAUCUACCUAGUGGUACGGAAUAACCCCGGGAAACUUGGAGUAAUACCGUAUACGCCCGAAAGGGGAAAGAUUUAUCGCCAUUAGAUGAGCCCGCGUUGGAUUAGCUAGUUGGUGGGGUAACGGCCCACCAAGGCGACGAUCCAUAGCUGGUCUGAGAGGAUGAUCAGCCACACUGGGACUGAGACACGGCCCAGACUCCUACGGGAGGCAGCAGUGGGGAAUAUUGGACAAUGGGCGCAAGCCUGAUCCAGCCAUGCCGCGUGAGUGACGAAGGUCUUCGGAUUGUAAAGCUCUUUUGGCGGGGACGAUAAUGACGGUACCCGCAGAAUAAGCCCCGGCUAACUUCGUGCCAGCCGCCGCAGUAAAAC